UGCUAUGAUUCUGUGCUCACAAAGGAAUGGAAUUCUCUUUUUGCACUGCGGCUCAGCCUUGUAAAAGUGAUCUCCUGCGUCUAAACCACAGACAACCAACUUCUGCGCGAUUAUAAAGAGCUCUGGUUACUUAUUCUUAUGAGUCCAGAAAGAUAUUUAAGAGGAAUUAUGCGAACAAAAACGUGAAGUCAGGGCUCCUGUCAGGCGAGCAGCACAACCAUGGAUAUGAAUCCAGUUACUGCACUGAGCCAUGGGAAGCAUGGAAAAAAUGUGGGAGAGAAGGCAAAGCGGUUGAACGACCGGUGCCCAAAUUCAGAGGUUUUGUGUUCCUAUGUGCCCACAUCUACACCUACCGAAGUGUCCCAGGCCCUCUGGUUGGUUUCCUAUGGGCUAACAAAAAAGCUUUUAUCAUACAUUUCAAAUGAAACGGCACAUCUCGGAUCCUUUUGGUACUGCUGGAGCAGUCACACAUUGAACUCCUAUGGUAAAGCACUGCUAGCGACCGAGCCAGGGAACCUUCAGACCUCACCCAGCAGCACAGUAACAGAGCAGGCUGGUUUUUCCAAAGGAAGCAAGACAAAUGGAAGAGGAAGGCAGCACUGCAUCCCAAAGGGCAGCGAAGGCCAUAUUUAUACUGCAUCGCUUCUGCAGGAGUUAUUCUGUUUUCAAGGGCCAGUUUAAAACAGAAAUAAUUACUGCAAGUACACAACGCAUAAACACUGAGGCUGAAUCGAUGGCUGAUUGAUACAACAGAUCCCUCUGAGCAUUCCUGCACUAAGACUGAAGUGCCAGCUUCCCUCAAGUGGUCAUUUCAAUCACUACCUUGAAUUUUAAAGGCAGCUGCAAGAAUCUUACAUUAUUUUCGUGCUCUCAAUGGUGACAAAGGCUUUCUAAGUACGCUUACAGUGAGAGCGGAGCUGGUCUCUUCUCACUGGUGACAGGAUGAGAGGAAAUGGCCUCAAGCUGAGUCAAGGUCACAGGAUCCUCCUGAACAGCUGGAAGACAAUGACAGCACUCUAAAUCUCCCAAAAAAAUUGGAAGCUGCCCUCCCUGACAUUUAAAGACUGAAUUUCGUUCCAUCCAAAGCUUACCAUCAAUUCAUAUACGUCAGGCAGGUUACUAACAAGAACAGCGAGGUUUCUGUCUGCAGGUCACACACAAAGGGCAGGGAAGCACCAGAAGGCUUUCUACCAAUAGCUGUGAGCUUUCAAAGACCAUAACUUAAAACACAUGUGAUGUGCAACGCUCCUUUAAUUCUAGCUCUCCUGCAACAGCUCCAACAGAAGCGCUACUGCUGAAAGGAAUCCUUCAUCUCUUCUUACAGCGGCCUGAGAUGCACUGCCUGACCAUAAGAAAACCAUCACGAAUAUCCUCGUUUCCUUCCUCCUCUGCUGCGUGAUUAAAAUGGGGAACCAAGGUAUUCUGUGAAUCAUUUCUCAAAACCGGCGUUCCAAAAAUGAACAAAGACGUGGCAGGAAAGCUUUGCAAGGGAGAACACCUCGCUGGGCUGGCAAGUUUGCAAAUAAAACUGGCAUGUGUGAAAGGCAGGCAACAAUUUAUCAACACACGUUUCCUUGUGAAACGAGGCUGAUGCUCAGGCCUUCCCUUCAGCCUGCUGUGCAUGCACACAAAGCAGCCACCUACCUCUGC